rnacentral:rRNA from 1 species
UACGUAGGGGGCAAGCGUUGUCCGGAAUCAUUGGGCGUAAAGCGCGUGUAGGCGGCCAGGUAAGUCCGUUCUGAAAGCCCGGGGCUCAACCCCGGGAGGCGGAUGGAUACUGCUUGGCUCGAGUCCGGAAGAGGCGAGUGGAAUUCCUGGUGUAGCGGUGAAAUGCGCAGAUAUCAGGAGGAACACCGAUGGCGAAGGCAGCCCCCUGGGUCAAGAUUGACGCUCAUGCACGAAAGCGUGGGGAGCAAACAGG